UAAAGUUGAAAAACUAUAACACCAGUUAAAUAGCCGCGGUAACUCUGACCGUGAUAAAGUAGCAUAAUCAUUUGUCAUUUAAUUGGUGACUAGAAUGAAUGGUUAAACGAAUCUCUAGCUGUCUCAGCAAGAAAUAAAACAAAAUUAAAAUUACAGUGAAGAUGCUGUGAAUAAAUUGCAAGACGAAAAGACCCUAUUGAGCUUUACUGGAUAUUUGUAAAUUUUUCUAACCAUAAUAAUAUAGAUGAUUUUUAAAGCAAAUAAGACAGUUUGGUUGGGGCGACCACCUCUAAAAUAGUAACAGAGGAGAUCUAAAGGUUAAAUUUAUGAAUGCUAACUUUACUGAAAUAACAAUAAUUUAAUCAGUUACUAACUAAGUAGGACAUAAUGACCCGCUAUUUUUUAUGUAAAAAAUAGCGAUUACAGAAUAAGUUACCAUAGGGAUAACAGGGUAAUAGUUUUCAAGAGUUCAUAUCGACGAAACUGUUUGCCACCUCGAUGUUGAAUUGUGAUAUCCUAA
rnacentral:rRNA from 1 species